UACGUAGGGGGCGAGCGUUGUCCGGAUUUACUGGGCGUAAAGGGCUCGUAGGUGGCCAACUAAGUCAGACGUGAAAUCCCUCGGCUUAACCGGGGAACUGCGUCUGAUACUGGAUGGCUUGAGUUUGGGAGAGGGACGCGGAAUUCCAGGUGUAGCGGUGAAAUGCGUAGAUAUCUGGAGGAACACCGGUGGCGAAGGCGGCGUCCUGGACCAACACUGACACUGAUGAGCGAAAGCCAGGGGAGCAAACGGG
rnacentral:rRNA from 1 species